rnacentral:lncRNA from 1 species
UCAAUCUUUACCUAGCAAGAGCUUCCAAAAUUUAUUUUCUUGAUCAUAUCUGUAGAGUCACAUAAUAUGAUAAAUGUUAGAUACCAAUCAUUCAUAUUCUCCCCAUAACAAUCUAUUUAGCCUUAUAAUAGACAGUUUUAUCAACAUAAAGAUUCAACACAUCUCUUAUCAAAUCUUGAUUUUUUUAAAUCAUUACUUAUGGUUGAAAAAUAAUUUUGUCCUUAAACUUUUUUGCAAUCAACUUUGAAUCACACAUCUUGUUCUUGUUUAAAGGAAUACACUUUUAAAUAGGGUGAUAGUUUUUAACAAUAAAAUUACCUGAGUCCCUAUUAGUAGAAGCAAAUAACAACUAUUUGCAAUUAGCUAUAAUACACUUCACCCUUAUUUUAUGUUUCUCAUUAGGUGUUAACUUUAAUUGCCUCUUAUACUCUACAGUAUAAUCUGCAACAGUUUUUUGUAACUAUUUCAUACCCUCAAAAUUCAUUCCAAGGUCAAACACAACAAAUUCACAAUUCUCAUCAUACCUAACUUUCUUACUUCUCCUUCUUUUAAGUAGAUCUACUCCUCUAAUAAUAUCUAAAUCAAGCUCAUCUUCUCUAUCUUUACUCUGAUAGUCAAUGCUAUUAAGAUAUUCCUCAUUUUCACCCAACCGUCCAGCAUAUUUGUUAGCCUUAUCUUUUUCAAUAUCCUCAAAGUUUUUAUUUACAUAACCAACAACUCCUACAAGUGCUUCAGUUUCAACAACCUUCUUCCUUGCUUUUUUAUUUCUUUUUCGUCGUUUUUUCUUUCUUGUCUCAAAGCCCCCAACUCCUUAUCAACAUCUGAGCCAUCUUUUAAAAGAAUGCCUCCAAGAUCUGAAUCAUUAUUCAAAUAAUCUGAUACAUCAUCUUCUAGAUGAAUAUCUUCUAGGUUAGCAUCUUCUACAUCUACCUCAUCACCUACUAUAUUAAUAUCUUCUACAUCAGCCUCAUCUACUUUGUUAGAAGUGUAUCUCUUUGUCUCUCCCUCCAUCUCUCUUUAUGUUAACACUCUCAUCAACACCAAUAAAUUUUCUCUCUAAGUUAACACCUUCACCAACCUCAUCUGCUGACACCCUUUUACUAUCAAUAACUUCUGGUCCAGUUAAAAGACCUGCAGGUCCAUUAGUGUCAAGUACUGGUUCAUCUAAAACAUGAUUGACAUAGAAGUCAAUAGAGUCCUCAUGUUUUAAAUCUUUAACUAGUUCUAGAAGAUGUUGGUCAUUUGUAACCAAGUUGAACUCUUUAGUUACUAUAUCUUGGUAAUAAAAUUUUCCAACAGUUUCAUAUUUUAAUUCUCUAGUAUAAUAUAACAAUUUCAGUAAUGAAAAGUGGUCCUUAGCAAUAAACCUUAGUGCUGGCACACAGUUUUCAAUGUAUGUAGGAACGGGAAUAUCGAAUAAGACCCCCCUUGGUAAAUAUUUUUAAAAAUAAUCUUUAUUUGUUAGGUCACCUGCAAUAAAAGGUAAAAAAUCAAAGUAAUUAAACGGAAGACACCCAAAGAACACACCAACAAGCUAAAAGUACAACUUUUAAUGCAUAUGAAGAAAGUGACGGAAUAUUCUCAAAAACACAUCUCCUACAAUGACAUUUCAAAUCCUAAAAAUUAAAUUAUGCUAAAAUUUAACAAAUAUAAAUUAUAAAAACACUUACACGAGGAAGAUGUAAGCAAAAUUUCUAAACUUCUUCUUCGAUUUGACAAGAAUUAUGGCUAAAUUAGGGCAAAAAAUCAAAGAGAGAGAGAGAGAGUAAAGGUCGGGGAGAGAGAAAAAGGGAUUGAGCUUCCAUUAAUUUGCGAUUUUUUGCCCUUUUAAAUCUCAUUUAUUUUUACAUGGAUAUAUUUAAUACACUUGGAGAAAUUUGAAUGUACUUAAUUUCCACAUAGGCAGCGGUUGGUUACACGCGGAGGAUAUUUCAUGGGAUAUGGGUAUAAAAGGUCUACGUGAAUCAAAUUUCGAGCUAGUUAGAAAUCUAAAUGGUAUAAGUCUGAGUUUAGCAGUCCAAGUGAAAUAUUGAUACAAGUUUAGGGAGUUUAAGAACACUUUUACAUAAAACAUUCUUAACCUCUCAUGCACUGAUAAACUUGACCAACCAUGCUAUAUAUCUACUUAAAUAUAUAAUGUCCCUGAUGUGAACUUUCCAAUUUUAGGCUGAGGAUGUACGGGAAUCAUAUUUUUUAUCUGAAAUAAUAUGUCGCAAGGUCCCUCAACCUGACACCAUCUUUAACUUUAAAUCUCAAGUGGACGUUGUUCACUUUAGACACAUCAACUAGCGUACGGGUGUGUCAUUUUGACACCUUUUGCAGCGUUGACAUGACGUGUGUAUUUCACUUACCUGAAGGUGAGUGGAAGUCCUUUUUUGACUGAUGUAGCGUCCAAGUUGGCUCACAAACAGUAUAUUAACUCAUCUCAAUUAAUUUAUAAUUCUUCAUCAUUUUUAUCCACUAUUUUUGUCAAUCUUAAGCUUAUUCAAUUAUAAAAAUUAUUGUGAGAGAUUUAAAAUUAAAUACACAUUUAGAAAUUCGUGAAAAUUAAAUAACAAACACCACUUUUUUUAAUUAUUUUUUUUCUUUUCAAAUAUUAAAAAUGGACAUGGCUAUUUAAUCAAAUUAUAAACCAAAUUUAAUCAAAAGACCUCACCAUUAUUGAAAAAGAAAAUCCAUCUGUAAAAAAAAAAAAAACUAAAAAUAAAUUAAUUUUCAUUUACAAUUUGCUUUGGAAGUUCGACUCAGUUUAACGGCUGACAUUCACUAGUAAUUUGCAUUUAAAAUUCACUCAAAAAUUACUUCAAAGUUAAAAAAAAAAAAAUAAAAAAAAAAAAAAAAAACUUAUAUAUGAGAUCCACAAGACAUUCCUAAUCUAUUGUUAUAAUAAUUAUUCUGAACCAAACUUAAGUCCUAUCUGAGUUUAAGUUUGGUGCACCGUCAGUAUAGUUUAUUUUUACACCAGCAGGUGACUUUUACCUGUUGUAGCAGGUGAUCCAUUUUUAUAUUUUUACCUGAGAAAUGGAUGACCUACUAUAUCAAGUAAAAGUUACCUGAUGAUAUAAAAAAAAACUACACCGACGGUGCACCAAACUUGAGUCCUAUCUUGAAUGGUGUUGGUUUGCGAACAUUCAAACUUUAAACUCAAGCUUCGGACUACAUUAAUGACUAUCAAUGGAGUUCUCUUAGCUUGUCUGUUUCUUUAAGUCUUAAGCUCGAAUUCAGUAACUAAUAUCUUACCCUCUGUUUGGAUAGUGGUUUCCCAUGAUAUGGUAUGAUAUAGUUAUUAAGAGAACCAUGAUUGUUUUGAUUGUUUCUUAAAAUGUAUGUUUCGGACUUAUGAUAUGAUUUAAUUUCAUGGUUUGGUAACCAUGAAAAUCCCUCGUUUUAUGUAACCACCGAUUUGAUGGUAUCCCAUGAUUUGCUUAUUUUUUUUCAAUUAUGUUCUUACUUAAUAUUAUAUAAUCUUAUUUUAUCCUUCACCUUAUAUUAUUUAACUCCACCUCCAACCCCAUCCUCCACCCCACUAGUCGCGCCCCCCGCCCCUACCUUGACCCGACCCCAUCCCCACCAAACCCUCCACCACAAUUUUUUUAAAAAUAUUUCAAAAACUUUUUCUUACUUGACCCUCACUCCCAACCCACCACCUAUUAACCUUCCCCCCACCAAUUUUUUUUUUUUUUAAUUUUCAAGAAAAUUUUCUUACCCCCCCCCCAUCCCCCCGCCUCUAUACACACAAAAAAGAAAUAAUCUUUUAAAUUAAUAUAUUUUUAAAAAAUUUAGAACUUUUUUUCUUACCCCCACUCCUACCCCUACCCCUUAUCCCGACUCCCACUCUACUAGCCCCACCCCUAAAAUAUUUUUUUAAAAAAAUUUAAUCUUUUUCUCAUCCUUCCCCUUUAUCAUAUUUGUUUUUAUUAUUUUGUGUUAAAUAUAUACAAAUGUUUUUAAAAAAUAUUUUUCUACUUGUGUUACGAACACAAUAAAAUAAGUAAGAAAUAAUUUAUUUUCUUGAAAAAAUAAUAUUUUUUUUUUUGGAUUUCAUACUGAACACACCCGGAGCAUACAUAAAAAUGCAUUCAAACUUUCUACUUGUCAUUAGUGUCACGUUUCAAAACACCAAAAAGAAAUAAAAUUUGUUACUAUAAAAAAUAAAUUCGAUUAUAUUUAUUUGAUCUACUAUAUUGACUUUGUUAGAAUUUACAUGAAUUUAACAACUUAAUAAUCUACACGACAUAAUUUAUGAUAAAUUAGUAGGAAGAAAAUUAUUUUAUUAAUAAUAUUGAUAAAAUUAACAUUUAUAAUAAUUAAGGACAUUUUAGUAAACUUACCAGUUACAAUACAGUACCAUACUAUCAAACCAAAUAAUAAAACUCUCAUCAAAUAACAGUGAACAAUACAGUCUAUCCAAACAUUGUAUUGUACUAUACUGUACCGUACCAUACCAUGUCAUAUAGUACCGUACAUUAUUAAAUCAUGACAAAUCACCAUCCAAACCAGAAGCGGCUCCAUGCUUUAAAGAAUUAGACACCCGCCUUUAGGCCCCUAAAUUUGAGGAGCCUCAUUUUCUUAGCAAUAAUAAAAUUACUAUAGGAUUUAUUUAAGAAAAUAUUUUAUACUAUUAGUUUUAAUUUUUUUUUUUUUAAACAUGUUUAAUCCUAUAAGAUUAGAGAACAUUUUUGGUGUAUUUUAUAUAUAUAAAAAAAAAGAAAUAAUUUUACAUCUCAAAAUAUUUUGAAAGAGAUAUAUUAGCAACUUUGCAUUUUAAAAAGUUAGAAAAAUAGACUUUAAAUUAAGAAAAUAUUUAUUUUCUUAAAAAAAAAUUAAGGCCUCCUAUUCAUUUUUGACUUUAGGCCACCAACGAACUUGAGUCGUCCCUGAUCCAAACAAAGUGUUAAAUGCUCUUAAAAUAGAUUCCGAAGAGAUUUACACAAAGAACAACAACUACAAAUUUUACAAAAUUGAAAUUGAGGGAUUUAGAGAUUUAGGAGAAGGGUUGGAGAAGACACUUUUGGGGGGUGGAGUAUUGGAGAAGAUGAUUGAGGGGGAGGAGAAAGGGGCAUUACAAAGACAAUAACUUGGAGGUGAGGUAUUAGAAAAGCUGAUUUUGGAUUUGGGGUGGAUGAGGUGGGGGGGGGGGGGGGNNNNNNNNNNNNNNNNNNNNNNNNNNNNNNNNNNNNNNNNNNNNNNNNNNNNNNNNNNNNNNNNNNNNNNNNNNNNNNNNNNNNNNNNNNNNNNNNNNNNNNNNNNNNNNNNNNNNNNNNNNNNNNNNNNNNNNNNNNNNNNNNNNNNNNNNNNNNNNNNNNNNNNNNNNNNNNNNNNNNNNNNNNNNNNNNNNNNNNNNNNNNNNNNNNNNNNNNNNNNNNNNNNNNNNNNNNNNNNNNNNNNNNNNNNNNNNNNNNNNNNNNNNNNNNNNNNNNNNNNNNNNNNNNNNNNNNNNNNNNNNNNNNNNNNNNNNNNNNNNNNNNNNNNNNNNNNNNNNNNNNNNNNNNNNNNNNNNNNNNNNNNNNNNNNNNNNNNNNNNNNNNNNNNNNNNNNNNNNNNNNNNNNNNNNNNNNNNNNNNNNNNNNNNNNNNNNNNNNNNNNNNNNNNNNNNNNNNNNNNNNNNNNNNNNNNNNNNNNNNNNNNNNNNNNNNNNNNNNNNNNNNNNNNNNNNNNNNNNNNNNNNNNNNNNNNNNNNNNNNNNNNNNNNNNNNNNNNNNNNNNNNNNNNNNNNNNNNNNNNNNNNNNNNNNNNNNNNNNNNNNNNNNNNNNNNNNNNNNNNNNNNNNNNNNNNNNNNNNNNNNNNNNNNNNNNNNNNNNNNNNNNNNNNNNNNNNNNNNNNNNNNNNNNNNNNNNNNNNNNNNNNNNNNNNNNNNNNNNNNNNNNNNNNNNNNNNNNNNNNNNNNNNNNNNNNNNNNNNNNNNNNNNNNNNNNNNNNNNNNNNNNNNNNNNNNNNNNNNNNNNNGUUUUGGGUGGGGUGGGGGGGGGGGGGGGGGGCGUUGCAUCAUAAUUUUGUGAGUGGGCUAGCUUGGAGAAGAUGAUCUUGGGGGUGGGGGUCAUUUAUUAAUUGAAUUUUUUUAAAAAAAUAAAUUAAUUAUGUAAAAUUUAUUUUGGAGAAAAAUGAUAAAUGUCAUCGUAUUAUUUGUUAUUUUACAUGUUAUCGAUGCAUGUAAUACACGCACAUUAUAUAUUAUUGUUGAUUGUGCAAAAAAACAUCAAAAUGACAUACCUAUACGUUAGUUAAGGUGCUUAAAGUAAACUACGUCCAUUUAAGGUAAGAAAAUGAAAAAAAUGCCAAAUUGAAAAGUCUAACGAUGUAUUCCUCCUUUUUAUCCUAUUUUAUUUGUUAUCCAGACGUUCAAAACGUGCAAAAUACUACUCCGUGAUGUCACAUAACAUUAUAUUAACCCCCAUCUCCCGCCAAAAAAAAGAAUGACAUCAUGUACACUGCAAAAGGAUAAAUGCUAAUUUUAUUGGAUUGCAGUUGCUAUCGCAUGUGGUUGUUUAAACUGGAAAGCUGAAUCUUUUAAUUACUUGCAUGAUUUUUUUUUAAUUUUUUUUUAUGUUGGGUUUUUAUUUAGUGUUUGAUAUUUGUAUUCGAAUCUUAAUUAAUUGAUUUUUUCAUUGCAUAUGAUCCAUUCAGGGGAAAAAUUUUCCGUCAAGGAUCUUUUCAUACCCAAGACUUGAAUUUGAUACUUUAGAUUAAGAGAGGAUCAGCCACAUUCGUUGCAUCACAUUUUUUUUUAAUGAUUAGUUUGAUUUUAGGGAAGAGGGUAAAAUUUAUUCCUCUACUUUGAAAAAUUGGCUAAAUAUACCGUUCAUCAUAUUUCGGGGUCAAAUUUACCCUUGUUGUCAUACUUUGGGACCAAAUAUAUCCCUCUACUUUGAAAAAUUGGCUAAAUAUAUCCUUCAUCAUAUUUUAGAGUUAAAUUUAUCCUUGAUGUCAUACUUUGGGAUAAAAUUUACCCUCAUUGUUAAGAAACUUUUUACAUGUACCAUUCCUUAAAUAGAAAAGUUCAAAUUAAUGUUAAAUGUCAUUUUUUUAAAAAAAUAAAACAGACUCUAAUCUAAUUCGUCUGACCCGAGUCGAGCCACAAAAAAGAUACAAAUAAAUAUUCCCUUUUAGUUCUGUUGCUCAAAUUUUUUCAACGAGAUUAAGCUUCUGAAUAUUUAUUUGUGCAUAACUCAUGAAAAAUAAAUCUGCACCAGUGCAAAUACAAAUAACAUAUAUCUCCCUCAGUUCAUAGAUUUGCAUCAGUGUAGAGCUCAUAAAAAAUGACAUUUAGCUAUCAAAUAUAACAGAUUAGAUCCACUGGAUAUUUUUCUGAAUGAUUGAGUUAAAAGGUCUUUCCAAUGUUCCAACCGUGAUAUCUCUUCACUCUUAUGUCUUUAUAUGCAAUUUGAAUCUACUAAAUUUUCAUUAUGUCAUUUGCUCAGACAACUUACGUUGAUUCUAGAAUCUAGAUACACAUAAAAUUAAAUACUAAAAUUUUAAAAUUUGAACAUAACUGAAUAAAAGCAGAGUUUAUAAUAGACAUUUUCUCUAGUUCCAUGCUUCUGCGUUAACCUAUUUCAUUCUACUUUUUGUUCAUUUGUAAACAACCUAUCAAUGUUAUUGGAUGCUGAGAAAGAAGUAUAUUUUUUCGUUAAGAAAGUUCGACCAAUAAAACUGAGAGUAAAGGGGUUAUAUUUGCUUGUGACCUUUUUUGUCUCGAGUUGGAUCGGACGAAUUAGAUUAAAGUGUAUUUUAUUUUUAAAAAAUAGGUCAUUUAAUGUUGAUUUGAGCUUUUCUAUUAAAGGAAGGACACAUGUGAAAAAUUUCUUAACAACGACAAUAAAUAUGACCCCAAAAUAUGACAUCGAGGAUAAAUUUGAUCCAAAAUAUGAUAAAGGAUAUAUUCAAUUUUUAAAAGUAAAAAGAUAAAUUUGACACCAAAAUAUAACAAUGAGUAUAAAUUUAACUUCAAAAUAUGAAGAAGGGUAUAUUUAGCCUAUCAAAGUAGAAAAAUAAAUUUGACCCUUUUCCCUUGAUUUUAUAUUUGUAGUAUUUUAUGGUAUUUGUAGUGAUUCAAUCACCUAAUUCUUAAUAUUGGGAUAAAAAAAACAUAAAUUUGAAUUCAAGGAUAAAUCCUCUUUUAGAAAAAUAUUACAGUAAAAUCUACUAGGGUACUUUGUAUAAAUGACAAAUAUUUUAAAUUUUAAAUGCAAACAUUAUCUUAAGAUUAAUUUAAAUAUUUUUAAUUUCUUGACCGACGAACGAAGAAUUAGUCUUACGGCUGCCGUCUAUGGGAAUAUCUUGGGAAAUCAAAAAGAAAAAAAUAUUUUUAAUUUCAUUAUGUAUUUAAAAUAUAAAGUCUUAACUCAAUAAAUGAAUAAAUAUAAUAUUUAACUUGAAUUAUAAUAUGACAUUUAUUGAAUUUGACAAGAAAGAUAAUUAAUAAAAAUGUCACAUUUAAAUGCAUCCCCAUCCUUUGCCGAAAAACUAAUUAUUAUCACCAAGCCAUAAAUGCCCUUCCACGCUGGCCUAAUUUUAUCUUCUUUUUUAUACUUUACCACUAUGUCCAUAACGUACCAUUAAUCUUUACUGGGAAAAAUCAUUUAGUAGUAAAGAAGAUGAGGGUUUUAUUUUGUCAUUUUUGGUUUACUCACGCCGAAUGAAAAUUCAUGUGCGGUGAUCUUUUUGGCUCAUGAACUAACUUUUGAACUAGAAACAAACUCAAAAUCCAAUUCUUUACGCCAUGCAAUUCAAUUAAUUAUAAUUUUGCCUACAUAAGAUUUGAUUUGAAGUGAUAAAGAAAAAAUCCUCCACGAUGGAAAGUUUCUUCAUUUUUAAAUUUGAACUUAAAAAAGGCAUAAAACAUAAGUAUGUACGUUAAUAUAGUCUCCAUCGACACUUACACGUCUUUCAAUUUUAAAUAUGCAUAAAUUUUAUAAAAUUAAAUAAACAAAUAUAUGUGUCCUACAUAAUAUAGACAGUCUCACACAAACUUAAAAACUCUAAUUAAAAAUAAAAUCUUAUUGUAUCUACUCAAAUCACACUAUUUAGUGACUACAUUAAAUAAGAUAUUUGUGUUUCCCAGCUAACAAAGCAAGAAAACAAAUACAUACAAACGUGUAACUGUCCAAAUCCCACCAUCCCCCACUCCACUCCGCUCCCCACAGGUGCUCUAUAAAAUUCAGCUUCACGAGACCACAUUACUGUCUUUGAUACCCCCCACCCCCAACCCAAACAACAUCACACUCACAAUGUCAUCCACAACUCCAUUAGUUUUUCUAAUUCUAAUAGUGAACCACCACCAUAAUUGGGUUGCUGCUGACUCUAGCAGCCCAAUAAAGACGGUGGUGGUUCUAGUAAUGGAGAACAGGUCAUUCGACCACAUGUUAGGAUGGAUGAAGAAGUUGAACCCGAAAAUCAAUGGGGUAGACGGAUCAGAAUCCAACCCGAUUUCAACGAGUGACCUGAAUUCCCGAAAGAUUUUCUUCAGGGACGGGUCACAUUAUGUUGAUCCAGAUCCGGGACAUUCAUUUCAAGCAAUAAGAGAGCAAAUAUUUGGGUCAAAUGAUAGUACAAGAAAACCAGCAAUGAAUGGAUUUGUUCAACAAGCUCUUUCUAUGGAUUCUAAUAUGCCUGAUCAGGUCAUGAAUGGUUUCCAACCCGAUAUGGUAAGUUUCUGUUCGGACUUCGGUAUUUGGUAUCUGUUUAAAAUUUUUACUUUGAAUGUAAAAAAUAAUUUCUGUAAUAAACGACUUCAUAUUCUGGGCUCAAAUCUACUCGUAUACCACUAUCCACUACUAUCACUCUUCUGUUCUUAAUCCCAUAAUCUUUAAAAUAUCUGCUAUUUAUUCGUAAUUCAUCAGUUAAUUUUUUAUAUGACCACUCAAUUAAUAAUUUUUAUUUAUAAAACUUAUUCAAUUUUAUUUUGUAAUAUAAUAGUCACUCAAUUAAUCGUACUUAUCUCAGAAAGUCAUUCAGUUUUAUUUCGUAACAAAAAAUUUACUCGACUAUUGGUACAACACACAUAAAGAAUCAAUUCAAGUGAUAUUUACGGGAGAUAUGACUGACAUGAAAAAAAUUUUAAGCCAAUUUUUUUUUAGAAAAAUAAAAACAUAUUUAUUUUAAUCAACCACUAAAAGUGAUCCACUUUUUUGUUUAACCGAUACGAAUAGCUUUUUAAUUAUUUCUUAAUAAUUUGGCAUAAAUAUUUUUAGAAUUUCAUAAAUAAAUCAGUAUAAUCCGGAGAAUAAUGUUAGAUAUGUGAAAACAUUCUUUAGGAUUAUGACGUUUGUGUUUCUCUCUCUAUUGAGUUUGAAUAAUAUGCUUGUGUAUGAUACUCUAGAAUGAGUAGCUGCCAAAUAUGUACUAGACAGUUGUGUUUGUUACAGUUAACCUUAUAUUAUUGAGUUUUUUAUUGAGUUGAUAAUUAAUAAUAAAAGAUGACAGUUGUUUAGUGAAUUUUAACUUUUUCUUUCACUAAUAAUGUACCAGACAUUUUCGCAUAACAAUAUUUGUUUUGAUUGUUAUGUAAAUUCGUGAUGAAUUUAUAACGAUAAAAAAAUAUUUUAUAUAAUGAUCAAUUUGGGUGUGAUCGAGUCGCUAUCAUUCUCUCUACCUUUUAAUUAGCUUUACCCCUAUACUUUAUUUUUCUUGGACGAUGGGUGGCAUUAUGAAACGAUGGAAAAUAAUAUAAUCUAUCCAACUAUAUAGUUCAUCUAAAUAAUAGUAGUACAAUAUAAGACAAUAUAACUCGAUACUACAAUACAUUAUAUAUGAAAUAAUAUGUGACAACCAAUUAGACAAAGUGUAAUAGUGAAGUUAACUUAAUAGAGCGUAAUAGCUUAAUUACCAUUUAAUAUAAUCAAUUAUUAUUGUACUUAAUAUUUGUAAAAAAUUUACAUAUAAUUAUCUAUUUAGUUAUUUAUUGCAUGCAUUUUUUUUCUUUCAGGUGGCUGUAUACAAAACACUAGUAUCGGAAUUUGCGGUAUUCGACCGAUGGUUUGCGUCGGUGCCCGCAUCGACUCAACCCAAUCGUCUCUACGUUCACUCAGCCACAUCUCACGGUGCUACAUCAAACAUUGCAUCGCUAUUAGCAAAAGGUUAUCCACAGAGAACGAUCUUUGAGAACUUAGAUGAUGCCGGAAUAGAUUUUGGAAUAUACUAUCAGAAUAUUCCUGCGACUCUGUUUUACUUGAAUUUGAGAAAGCUCAAGUAUGUAGGAAAGUUUCAUCCUUAUGAUAUCACAUUCAAAAAUGAUGCCAGAUCAGGAAAGUUACCAGGUAUGCAUGUCAAAUUUGUCAAUUUUUUAUUUUUCGAGAAUCAACUUAAUUAAUAUUUUGAAUUUGAAAUACUUAUAUUCAAACACGAAAAAAUAUUAUAAAAUAUGUGUAAUAAAAAAAUUAUACGAAAAAAAUUAUAAUUAUAAGAUAUAAAAAGACACAUAAUUUGAUUAUCAAAAAUUGGAAAUAUGUCCACGACGCCACCUCAAACAUCACAUCGCUAUUAGCCAAAGGUUAUUUACAGAGAACGAUCUUCAAGAACUGCCCGAUGUUGGAAUAAAUUUUAGAAUAUUCCGGCGAUUCGGUUUUAAUUUGAAUUUAUUAAGAAAGCGCAAGUAUGCAGGAAAGUUUCGUCCUUAUGACCUCACUUUCAAAAGUAAUAAUGCUAAGAGCUUGUUUGAAUAUAAAUAUUUUUUUUAGUUUAUGUGCUUGAAGGUUGAAAUAAGUAUUUAUAAAUUAAAUAGAUAAGUGUUUGAAUAAAAGUAUUGAAAUUGGAAAAAAUUAUUGAUAUAUUUAGUAAAUUAGUGUUGAUAAGUAUUUCUUUUGUUGUUAAAAUGAUUUAAAUGUCCUUAAAGAUGUUAAUAAAUUAAAUUAUAUAUAAUUUUUAAUUGCAAUAAUUCAAAAACAUCGGAGAAAGAUGACGAGGAAACUGGAAGGAAGAGACGGAGAAAAACGAUAAAGAGAAAAAGAAAGAAAAACAAUAUGUUUAAGGGCAGUAAAAUUGGAGUAUUAUUAGAAUUAAAGAAAAAUAUAAAGAAUAAAAAAUAAAUAUCUUGAUCAAAUUUAAAAAAAAAAAAUUAAUUCAAAAAGUUAAAAAACUGGAGGUGUCAGCAUCUCCCUUUUUGUUUUCUUUAAUCGAUUUUUAACUUUUUGUAAAAAAAAUUUUUAUUUUAUCAAAAUAUCUCAACUCCCCCUCCCCCCUCUUUGUGACACUUACUGAUUGUUGGGACUUAAUAUUAAUGUUUUAUAAUUAAAUUUUAUAUUUAAAAAUUAUAUGAUGUGCAAUUUUUCUCAUAUAUAUAUUUUUUUUGACAAUUAAUAAUUUUAUUAACUACUAAGUAAACAUUACAAAAGGACGGUAGAUCCAUAGCAGACUAUCCCAUCCCGUUGCUAAUCCCAGAGUAGAGACAUACCAGACACAAUUGAAAAUUUUAAAAUUUGAUAGUAAAUUUAUAAAUAAAAUUUAUAUAUUUAAAAAUUACAGAAAAAGAAUGACAAAUCAUAACAAUUAACUUUAAGGGGUCGUUUGGCGUGAGUAUAAGGAUAAAUAACUAUGAAAUAAUAAUAAAAGACUAUUUUAUUCUAUAUUUGAUGUGAGGUAUUAGUUAGUAUCAGAAUUAUUUAUCCUGUCACCAUAGUGAUGAGAUAAGUUAUUCCAUAUAUAUUGUGAAAUAACUAUUUUUGGAAUAACUAAUUUUGGGAUUGUAGAAAAAUUAGAACCAACUUUGGGAAAUUUUCUUGAUGAUCUUUAUUAUGUGUGAACCAAUGUAUAUAUAUACAUGUAUCUUAUGCAAGAAACUAAAUAAUAAAAACACAUGUAUCUUGUGCAAGAAGCUAAAUAAUAAAAACACAAAGCUAAUUAAUAAAACAACAAAAGAAAUAUCUAAACACUUGUAUCUUGUCUUGAUAUUUUUUCUUUAUUCUCAACAUCCCCUCUCAAGAUGGAGGGGAUCGAAGUGAAUCCCAUCUUGGCAAGAAAGCGGUAGUACGAUGGUCCAGAAAAGAAUUUUGUGAAUAUGUCGGCAAGUUGAUCCUUUGAAGGGAGAUAAUGAAGAGAAAUGAGCCCAAAAAAAAAUUGUUGCCGGACGAAAUGACAAUCUAGCUCCACAUGUUUUGUGCGUUCGUGGAAUACGGGAUUUCUAGCGAUAUGAAUCGCUGCUUGACUGUCAGAACGAAUGGGUAUUGGCAAAGCCGGUGGAACUAAUAGAUCAGAUAGUAAGCGAGUUAACCAAGUGAGCUUCACAACUAAUUAUCUCAUCGAUCGAUAUUCCGCUUCAGCGGAUGAAAGAGACAGAUUCUUGCUUCUUGGAUUUCCAGGAGAUGGGAGAACCUUCCAUGGAGAUGAAAAACCUACUGAUCGAUCGAUGAGAAUUUGGGCAAGACGCUCAAUCCACAUCACAAAAUGCAUUGAAGGAGAAAGAUGGAGAGAUAGAUAAGAAAAUCCCUCGACAAGAAUGUCCUUUCAGGUAACGCAGAACCCUUAAAGCUGCUGUGAAAUGUAUAUCGCAGGGAGUUUGCAUAAAUUGACUUAAUGUUAAUACUGCAUAGCAUAUAUCUAGCCUGGUAUGAGUUAAAUAACUUAGCUUGCCAAUCAAAUGCCUGUAAACAGAAGAAUCUGACAUAGGUGUUCCUGAUGAUUCAGAAAGUUUACAAGAAGGAUCCAUCGGAGAUGAUACAGGAUGCAAAUGAGAAAUGUCAAACUCUUGAAGAAAAUCAAAGUUAUAUUUCCUUUGACUGAUGAUAAUUCCAUGGUCUUCCCUUAAAAUUUUCAUUCCCAGAAAGUAAUGUAGAAGUCCUAGGUCUUUGAUUUUGAAUUCGGAAUGUAGAAACUAUUUUAGACACUCGAUCUCUUUGGUGUCACUACCUGUAAUGAGGAUAUCAUCGACGUAUACAACCACAAUAGAUAUCAAAGAACUAGUCUUUUUUGAAAAAUAGAGAGUAGUCGUUGAGAGAAACACUGUAACCUUUGAAAUUAAGAGCACCUGCAAGUUUGGCAUACUAUUACCUAGAAGCUUGUCUCAGACCAUAAAGUAACUUGUUGAGUUUGCACACUAAAUUAGGAUCAGGAGAAGACAAACCGGGUGGAAAAUUCAUAUACACUUCUUCUUGCAAAUCUCCUUGCAAGAAAGUAUUUUUAACAUCAAAUUAAGAAAUAUCCCAAUGCCUUUUAGCAGCCACAAACAAAAUACAUCGAAUUGUAGUCAUUUUGACUACGGGGGAGAAGGUUUCAUUGAAAUCUACGCCUUCCUUUUGGAUGUCCCCCCUUAUGACCAGCCUAGCUUUUAGCCCCUUAAGUGAUCCAUCUGCAUGAUGCUUUACCUUGUAAACCUAUUUGCAAGGUAAAGCCUUUCUUCCCGGUAGAAGUGGAACCACAUCCCAAGUGUGGUUGGACUGUAGAGAUGCUAGUUCAUCAUCUAUAGCACUGCACCAAUCUAGAUUAGUAGAUGCCUGGUGAUAACUAGUUGGUUCUUUGAUUGUAGACACUGAUUCAAGAAUGAGUUGAUUUGAUAAAGAGAGUCCAGCAAAAGAAAUAAAAUUUGGUGCAACAGAAGAUGCAAAACAAGACUCAGUAAUUGGGCUAAAAAAUAUAUUGUUACAGAAAUAAUCUUGUAAGUGGACUGGACGUACACUUUUAUUAGUUCUGUCCGAUCUUCUAACAAGUGGUGUACUAGUUGUAGGUAGAUUUUCUAGUGGAGAAGAUGGGGUUGAUUGUGAAUGUGAAGAAUCUGAAGCUGGUAGUGUAUGUGAAAGUGGAAAAGUGUGGUUUGUAGAAUUUGUGUUUGAAAAGGAGUGUGCCAUCAGUGAAAGAAACAGAUUCAUGGUCUGGUACAGAAAAAGUAGGUGGAGGUGAUAUGGGAUUCUUUGUAAAAGGAAAAAUGUUCGCAUAGAACUGGAAAUCUCUAGUGACAAUUAUUUUCUGUGUAUUCAACUCUAAGAGUUUAAAACCCUUUCGAUUAAUGGGAUAACCUAGAAAGAUACAAUCUUGUGCUCUUGGUUCAAACUUCCCUCUCCCAUGUGACAAAGUGCUAGCAUAGCACAAGUAUCCAAAAUACCUUAAUGAACUAUAAUUAGGUGCCUUACCAAACAAUCUAUGAUAGGGAGUUUUUCCAUGAAGGACUCUUGAAGGCAUCCUGUUAAUAAGAAAAGUAGCAGUGAGGAUACACUCUCCCCAAUAUCUUAAGGAAACCUGAGAUUGAAAUAAAAGAGCCCUUGCCGUUUCAAGCAAGUGCCUGUGCUUCCUCUCAACAACUCCAUUUUGUUGAGGGGUAGCCACACAGGAUGUUUGAUGUACAAUCCUUUGAGCGUUGAAAUAAUUAGUUGCAAUCAAGCUCUUUCCUAACUCCAGGGCAUUAUCUGACCUUAUUUUCUUUACCUUAACAUCAAAUUAUCUCUCAACCAUAUCAGAAAAUAUUGCAAUACAGGAAAGGCAUUACUUUUGGUUCUCAACAGAUAAGUCCAAGUCCCUCUACUGUAAUCAUCCACUAUAGUAAGAAAGUAUCUAUAUCCAUUGUAAGUAUCUACCUUGUAGGGUCCCCAAGUAUCAAUAUGAAUAGGUCAAAUAUAGAAGUUGGUGAAAUUUGACUAAUGCGGAAAGAAGGUCUAGAUUGUCUAGAUUUAGGACAAAUAUCACAAAAACACUCAGAAGUAGAUGGAAAAGAAAGGAAACUGACAUUCUUCAUUGAUGAAAAAGGCAAAUGCCCCAAUCUAAUAUGCCAACGUCUUACAUUAGAAGCUGCAUUAGUACAAAUGAGAGAGGAAACAAUACUAUCUUUAUUAGAAACAGAAACCGAAGAACACUACUAGGAUUAGUAACAAUCUUCCUACAAGUAUUCUUGCUGAAACUAGAGAAUGACUCCUUGGCAUUAGGCUUGAGUAGAUAAAAACCUUCUUGUGCUUCACCAAAAACUUGAGGCCUCCUCAUGGAAGGGCCCUGCAUCACACAGUUUGUCAGAGUGAAAUACAAGGUGCAAAAAAACUGUUUACACAACUUGUGGAUAGACAUAAUGUCACGCCUCAAAUCUUAUUGGGGCAGACUGGCACCCGUAACCGAGGAGGCCCGAGAGAACCAGCUCAUAACCUUAUACUUCCUAUGCAUACCUUUACGACAACCCGAAAUUCGGACAUCAUGAUGUUGCAUAUAAAAGGAAAUAAUCACCUGUAUAAGCUCGAACACACAUAUAUAUGUAUAUACAAUACUUGGCCGUUUGAGCCAUCAUGUCUAUUAACAAAACACCACCUUGACUGUACAUUAGGUCUACAAAGCCUCUAGACAAUACAAGAGUUUAACUAAGGUCGGGACAUACCCCGCCAUAUAACUAACUUUUAUACAAUAUCAAAAGUGACUGGUUAUGACACGGAAAUCCCUGAAGCAAACUGGAGCUCACCAAAAGCAACUGGAUAUCCUAGCUCCUACUUGUGUGGUGUAUGAGCUGAGGUACCUGUGUCUACAGCAUAAAAUGCAGGUCCCUCAUGAGGUAUGUCAGUACGAAAUAUGUACUGAGUAUGUAAAGUUGUAGAUAAUCACAUAUGAUAUAGGAGCUCAAUAGAAAUCAGAAACAGGUGAAUAAAUUGUAAUAGGAGUGGACCACACUUACUAGAACUUGUGACAACCUGUACAUUGUAUUUAUUCAAUCACUUUACCUUCGUUCUUAUCAUCUUUUAAUCAUUACUGUACUGUAUUGUGACCAUUAGGCUGUCUCCAAUACAUAUUAACUGGGAUCGACCCAUGAUAGGCUUAUGCCCCUGGGAUACCACCCAUAAACACAUAAAUAGGGAUCGACCCAUGAUAGACUUAUGCCCCUGGGAUACCACCCGAUAAGAGAGAACUUCCAUCACUUAGUUCAAUUAAUCUUUGAGAUUGUUAUUUUGGUCGCCACUAGGAACUUAUUUGUAUAUCAAUGAAACGUUUUGGAGUCAUUAAUAGCACAUGGAUCUUGUUUGAGUAACCGGAUACCUUCUGACAUUCAUUAGUGCAAUAAACAUGUAAGAUUUGGAAAACAAGUAAGUAUUGGAAUGUCUUGACAUCUUGUAGGGUGGAAACAAGUUCAUUGGUAACGUAGGACAUCAUACAAAACCAUUAUGGAUCACAUGUUAUUGAAUAACUUUGGAAACUUUCUUAAUAGAACAAUUGUUCACUUUCAUGCCAAAGAUAUGGUAUAGAGUAUGCUUUACAUACCUGACUGUCAACCUUCAAUACUAGUCCCAAAUGGACUUCCUGUCUUUUCGGAUUACUUAUCUACAAUAAACAAAUAUAGCAAUUUAGUAUUAGCAACCAAACGUCACAAUUCAAUUAUUUGAAUUCACCAAACUAGUGGUUAAGUAGUGAGCCUUAAUUACACCAUAAAGGGUGUCACUUUAACCCUCUUAUACUCCAAUUACAUUCACAUGCCAUGCAUAUUCAUACAAUAUCCUCCAAUAUCAAGUUUGGAUUCAUUUAUCCUUCCAACCAAUCCAUUAAACCAAAUUGAGCCAUCGAUAUAAAUAAUCAUCAAUUCAAUAGUAUAUCACCAUAUCCACCUUCCAUAACUCAAUUACCAUAUCCACCUUCCACAAUUCAAUACAACCAAACCAUGCAAAAUAGUCCAUAACCCUAUUUCCAUCACCUUUCAAUAACAACCAAUACAUAUAAUCCUCUAUCACACAUAUACAUAUGGAAAAGAACAAAGACAAAUAAUAUUCAUACCUUAGAAUUCACCUCUUGAUUAUGCAAUCCUGUUUGCACAAAUAAUAGGUGUCGUUCGAAGCUCGUGAGAUGACAAACGUAGUUAUCGGACUUUAGAAUUUCUACGGUUGAAUCAAAAGUAAUUUAAAGGUCAAAUUUGGCUAGACUUUGUUCUUCCUCAAUGAUUGAUGAUGAAAAUGAGUUUUUGAACUCAUAUACAUGUAUAUAUACACAUAUUCCCGUCCAUAAUAUAAAAGAAAAUGACCAAAAUGCCUUUAAAAUUUAAAUGAUGUCAAAUCUGUCCUUUGGUGGACUGUUUUGAUAAGCUAAAGUAGAUCGACCAUAACUAUUUGCUCCGAUAUCGGAUUUGAGUGAAAUUGGUAUCAUUGGAAGGAUAAUUCAAAGAAAUUUCAUUUCAUAUAAAGUAGGCCACCCAGUUCAUCCUGUACAAGGAGUUAUGGUCGUUUGAAGUUGACCCUAAAAAUCUGUUUUGAUAGGCUGAAGUAAAACGAGUAUAACUCCUUACUCAGACAUUGGAUUUAGAUGAAACCAAUUGCAUUGAAAAGAAGACUCAAAGAUCUUUCUUUUCAUAGGUUGCAGUUCUCCCAGAUCAUUAUAUUAAGGGAAUUAUGAUCGUUCGAAGUUGACCCAAAAAUUCAGCUGGCCUCAGUAGUUUGUGUGCAGAAAAUUUUUCUGCACAUUUACUAUUCCCAAAUAUCCCGACCACCGUUUUAUAGUUUCGAACGUGCUCGAUUAUAUCCAAAACCUAUCCAUUUUUGGAAAUCUUUAUAUCGUUGUAAAGCGGAUUCAAUAACCUUCGCAUAGAACCAUCGACGGGUAAAUUCUAGAAUAAAUAAAAUAAAAAAAAUUAAUUCCAUAUAAAUAAGACCACUACACGUACUUGAAUACGCCAAUACACAUACUUAAAUACAGGGUGUUACACAUAAGAUUAUACUUGAAACUAGGAACACAUAACACAUUUUCUAGAAUCAAAUCAGAAAAUAUGGCUACUGUACCUAUAUGAGUAACUGAAAUGGUUUGACAAUUAGGAAAAUUGAUAGUUAAAGGAAUUGAAGAUAAGUUAUGAAAGCAAAGGAAGAUGAAUUGAAACAUAUGUGUUCUGAUGCACCUGAAGCUAUGAUCCAGGUGCUAGAGUUUAGGACAGAAAAACAUGAACCAAGAUGCUUAGAAAUUGUACCAACUACAGAAUUAGCAUUAAUGUCAAUCCCUAAAUUUGAACCUCCCUCCAUCUUCAUCUGUUUGAACGUCUGAACAAAUUGAGAAUAUUGUUCCUUACCGAAAGAUAUCUCAGAUUCAAUGGCUUGUUUUUGCAUUGCAUCUUUCAUCAUAGCAUUAUUCCCCCUUAUCUGAUUUUGAGAACCCCUAUUAUUUAUGAACUGAAAAUUCUCAGGAAAGCCUAUCAGUAUGUAACAAUCUACUUCUAGAUGUGCUUGCUUUCCACAAUAAUCACAAGAGACAUUUAGGUUGUAUUUUCCCUUUUUUUCUUUGAGAUUUGAAAGCUGUUUGGUGAACCUAUGCUGCUGAACUUGAGGAGGUCCAGAUUUGGGAUAAAAACUCCUAGAUCUAUGGGGAGCUGAUGGUAUAAACUUGUGUCUAUUUCCCUGCCUUCUGAUUGUUAAUAUUUCUUGUCAUGAAGGCUAAUAAAUCUGCAGAACUCACAAGGUUGAAAUAAGAUUCCCUUUGGUUCUCAUCUUGCAAAAUCAAAGAAUAAGCAAGAUUGAUGUUAGGUAAUGGGUUGAUCAUGAGAAUGUUGCUUCUAGCUGGAGAAUAGGUAUCAUUAAAACCCAUGAUAAACUGUAUCAACCUUUUAUCCUCUUAAGGAUUUCUUUAGUUUGAGCUUACCUUCAAACAUACAUACGCAACUACACUGAAUAUUAAAAUUAAGAGAAUCUAGUUCAUUCCAUAAUUUUUUGAGUCUAGUGAAGUAUUCUACUAUGCUAUUUGUUCCUUGAUUUAAGCUAUUGAGCUCCUUUUGUAGAUGAUAAAGCUUAGCACCAUUGGACUGACCAAACCUGUGCUCAAAGCUGGUCCAAAGCUUUUGUAUAGUUUUGAAAUAAAUUACACUGUUAAUUAUGUCCUUACAGAGUGAAUUCAAGAUUCAGGAUGUGACCAUGUCAUUAUACCUAUUCCAUGCUUGAAAAUCUGUUGAAUCUGAUGUUGGGCAUGGGUGAGAACCCGUGCUAAAUCCAAAUUUGUUCUUUGCUAACAGAGCAAUUAGGACUGACCUCUUCCAACCCAGAUAUCCCUUGCCAUCAAAAGGUGUAUUUACUAGUGUCAUACCAAGGUUAUCAGAAGCAUGAAGAUGAUUAGUGUUUUGCAAAAAUUUUGACUUUUUGAAGAGAACCGCCUCUUAAUUUUGAAAAGAAAUUAAAAAAUCUUUAGAGAGUUACUUCAAACGAUCCAAAAUAGAAAAUCGUUCAAGUUUUGAAGAUUCUCAGUAAGCGGUUCCUAUUAAUGUUUUAAAAAGGUGUUAGGCACCUAAAAUGUCCGCCAACUUGCGGUUAUUCAAACUGUUUGAAAAUCAUCUUUGACUAACUUUAAAAGGAGUGUUUAUUUUUGAAAAGAAAGCAAUUUUAGAAAUAUUUUGGUGUUUAUACAAAACUAGUUUUUUAGCGACUUGACUAAGGAAUUAACUAGGUUUGCAAAUCACAUAAUACAAACAAGCAUAAAGAAGAUGGGGAAGGGGAGGAAGUAAGGGAUUUAGGCUUGGGCCCAAGUCAAUAAGACUUGUCCUAGUCUAAUUGAAUUUUCGACCCAUUUCACCUGUCCUAGUUUAGUUUUCGAGCCUUUGGCUUGUAUUAAGUACAACUUUGGCUUCGAGGCCCAAAUGAAUGAAUAAAUAAAUAAAGUAUAAAUAAAUAAAUAAUAAAGACAAUGGAUAAAUAAACAAAACAAUGAGACUUUCAAGUCCCCUUCGCUGCUUUAAAGAUGGGGCUUUCACCCCAUUUUCUUCUUCUUUCGACUCCUCGAAUCUGUAUGCCAUGAAAUCAUUUUUGGAUUUUCCUUUGGGCUGACUCAAUGAGAUGGGCCACAAUGGCCCAUAAUGAAAUGCAAANNNNNNNNNNNNNNNNNNNNNNNNNNNNNNNGAAAGAGUCCAUUUGGACUCCCAAGCGGGUUCAUGCAAAGAAAACGAUGCAAAGGAAAAGAGUCCAUUUGGACUCCCAAGCGGGUUCAUGCAAAGAAAACGAUGCAAAGGAUUAAUAUAUAUAUAAGUCAUGAUAAUUAUAUGAUUCUACAAGAUAUAUCCACACACAAAAAGAAAAGGAAUGGCGACUCACGAAAUCAGAGAUAGCAGAUACAUCAAAUUCUUGCUAUAUCAAGCUACAUUAUCUUAAAGUUACAUCAAAAUUUGGUAUAGUAAGGAUAGGAAUUAGACACCUAAAAUGUCAGCAAAUAAGCAGAGGAGAGGAAGUAAUUGAAAUGUGAUAACACGUUCAGAUUAGCUUAUGCCAGCUGCCAUAUGGAGACAAUUAAAUAAAUAGAUAAAAAUAUCCAAUUUCUUCCCAAUGAGACCAUUUUGAGUACUUUCAAAGUUGCAAGCAAUUGUUAUGUAAACACAAUUAUAGAAUAUAUGUACUAUUACAUCAUUCAUAACUUUCCUAUUUCAAUACCAAGGAGAACACGCAAUAGAGAAUGAACUAAACAAUCCCAAAGGUAAUGUUUGUCAAAGAAGGCAUUCAUACUAAUGCUUUUCAUAACUAGGGAGGUGAAUUUAUACGAGCAAAGAUACUUGUAACAAUUACACCUUUGGAAGAAGUCAAGAAAGAAUGCGUCCUUACUUAUACGUUCUAGAAACUAGAUGCAUUCACACAUAGGUAGAUGGUCGAAAACUUUGAAUCUGGAAGCUUAUGAGCAAACCAAAUUGUCGCUCAUUUUUUAAAGAUUCAUUAAUCAAUACGUAUGUCCUAGGAUAAAAGAGAACAAGAAAAAAGUCAAAGUCGGAUCCUAUCUUAUUAUCCAUUAUCAAUUUGAGCAAAUCUGCAGUCAAUGAUGGAAAAUAGGGGAACAUAUUUGUUUUAAAUUUAGCAUUAUAAAUACAUAACCGUAAAAAAAAGAUAGGAUGAGCAUGGAACCAGUCAGAAAAAAAAGAAAAUAAAACAACAACGAUAACAACAAUAUUUUGUACAAUGUACGAACAGGAGAUGGACGAUCGACCUCUCCCCUAAUCAUAUGAGAACACUAGCAGGCAAUGUUUCACUGUAAAAGAAAAAAAAGACUCUUGAUGCAGGUAGGUGCAGAGAAAAUGAAACGACAUCAUAGCGGAUUUUAAUAGAGACAAAAAGGAUACUACCUGUUCGGGAGCAUCAAAACAGGGCUACGAGCUGGCAUUGGAAUCCACCACCACCGAAAAGUUCAACGCCUCGCCUCUGAAAAGCUCCGAGCUAUCGUCGACCAAAGAACUUAUACUAAAAUAUGCUAUGUUUCUUUUCUUCCGAAACUUUUCCCCUAGUUUUCGAACUUAGCUUUUCUCAAGAAGAUUUUUUUUUCACAUUAAAAUUUCUAAACCAAGAAUUUCCAACCUAAAGAGAUUUUUCCCUCUUCUCUCUUCAGACCCAAGAGAAAAAUUCCUUGCCCUAGCUUUCUCGACCAAUUUUUCAACCCCCCAAAUUUUGAACCACAGAGAAAAAAAAAAAGCAAUCCCUUAGCUUUUUCUGAAUCCCCGAUUUCUAACCCCUUGAUUUUUCGAAUCCAAAAUCCUCUUUUCCAGACCCCAAAAAUUUGAAUCCCAAAAAACUUCUCACCGUUGAGAUAUAUAUAUACAGGCGUACAGGGAUAAAUUGGGGAUUUCGAAAAGAGAAAAUUUUGAAUUUCAAAUUCGAAAAUUCCCCUCUUUGGAUUUAUUUCGAGGGGUAAAAAAUGGGUGGACCAAUAGAAUUGGGGAAAAACAAAUUCUCUCUCACAUCCAAUGAAAAUCCACCAAAUAUGUACGAAAUCGUACCAUUGUUACCGAGAUUUGCGGAAUUCAUCUGUUGAGGGGAUACCUACACAUCUUCUAGAGGAUUCUCGGACUUCCCAUGGUACGAAACCGCAUGCUACUCACGUGAGGAGUACGAUAGAAGUGAGGGAGAGAAAAAACGACGGGUUUUGUCGGGUCGGAGCUGGUUGGAAUCAGGUUGUGGACGUUGAUGUUGAAUUUGGAUUGAGAGUUGCUGAUGUUUUUUGUACACUGAUUUUUGUGUUCUUGUGCGCAUAUUGUUGUUGUUUGUUGAAGCAGAGAAAUUGGGCCGGGUUGGAUUAAUUAAUUGGUGGGCUGGUGUGGUUAACAUGGACUGCUGAUAGUUUUAUGUGGCCCAAUGUACAAUAAAUAGGGGUAGAAAUUUGAUAAUUUAAAAAAUGGCCUAAUAAAAUUAAUUUUGUAGCCAAUUGUACUUAAAUCUUAACCAAAUUGGAUAUCAAUUUCAUUACAAUUUUGAUCAACUUGAUUUCAAUUAUGGUCAAAUUUAAUAAAUUAAUUAAAUUUAAUCGAGAUUCGAUAUGAAUUAAUACAUUGUUUAAUCUUGAUCUUCUUGAUUUGAUAAAAUUAAAUAAAUUUUAUCCAAAUAAAUUAUUUUCUAGAGCAAAUUAUAUUUAAAUCUAGAUUUUAAUCAUUUAAAUUUAUUUUCAAGAUAAGCCUUGACUAAAAUUCGAUAUUUUGUAAAAUAAAUUUUUAAGUAACAAAAUUAUAAAAUUUUGUAUAAUUGAACACGAUAAUAUAUAAUCGCUACUUAAAAUGAGCAAUUUACCCAAAUAAAUACUUUGUAAAUCCUUUAUUCAGAUAAAAUAAAUGUUGUAAUUUUAUUUAAAAAUUGAAGAAACUUCGAAUUAAACUUAGUUAUGGAGGGCAAAAAUUAGGUGUUAACAAUUAGAAUGAUUUGGAUCCAUGGUGAUGGCGCUAGCAGUAUUAGUCAUUGAAGCAGUAGCUAUUUGCUCCGCCAUGUUUGAGAUUGAGAAAGGAGAAAAUUGGUGUUGAAUCUGAUCUGAUCUGAAAAUUAUUGCUUUGAUACCAUGUAGAAAAGUUAGAACCAACUUUGAGAAAUUUUCUUGAUGAUAUUUAUUAUGUGUGAACCAAUGUAUAUAUAUACAUGUAUCUUAUGCAAGAAGCUAAAUAAUAAAAACAUAAAGCUAAUUAAUAAAACAACAAAAUAAAUAUCUACACACUUGUAUCUUGUGACACUUUUUUCUUUAUUCUCAACAGAGAUUAAUUAUCAAAGAACACCUAAAAUAUUUAAAAGAUAUAUAAAAAAAUCAUUGAUGCUUGAAAUUUUAAUUAUAUCACAUAAAUUGAUAGGAUAUUUUUUUUUUUCUUGACAACGAUAGGAUAAUAGUUAAAUGAGCUAAUUAACAUGACUCCCAUAUUAUUUUACCAGGAUAUGUUGU